rnacentral:rRNA from 1 species
GAUGAACGCUGGCGGCGUGCCUAAUACAUGCAAGUCGAGCGAACGGACGAGAAGCUUGCUUCUCUGAUGUUAGCGGCGGACGGGUGAGUAACACGUGGAUAACCUACCUAUAAGACUGGGAUAACUUCGGGAAACCGGAGCUAAUACCGGAUAAUAUUUUGAACCGCAUGGUUCAAAAGUGAAAGACGGUCUUGCUGUCACUUAUAGAUGGAUCCGCGCUGCAUUAGCUAGUUGGUAAGGUAACGGCUUACCAAGGCAACGAUGCAUAGCCGACCUGAGAGGGUGAUCGGCCACACUGGAACUGAGACACGGUCCAGACUCCUACGGGAGGCAGCAGUAGGGAAUCUUCCGCAAUGGGCGAAAGCCUGACGGAGCAACGCCGCGUGAGUGAUGAAGGUCUUCGGAUCGUAAAACUCUGUUAUUAGGGAAGAACAUAUGUGUAAGUAACUGUGCACAUCUUGACGGUACCUAAUCAGAAAGCCACGGCUAACUACGUGCCAGCAGCCGCGGUAAUACGUAGGUGACAAGCGUUAUCCGGAAUUAUUGGGCGUAAAGCGCGCGUAGGCGGUUUUUUAAGUCUGAUGUGAAAGCCCACGGCUCAACCGUGGAGGGUCAUUGGAAACUGGAAAACUUGAGUGCAGAAGAGGAAAGUGGAAUUCCAUGUGUAGCGGUGAAAUGCGCAGAGAUAUGGAGGAACACCAGUGGCGAAGGCGACUUUCUGGUCUGUAACUGACGCUGAUGUGCGAAAGCGUGGGGAUCAAACAGGAUUAGAUACCCUGGUAGUCCACGCCGUAAACGAUGAGUGCUAAGUGUUAGGGGGUUUCCGCCCCUUAGUGCUGCAGCUAACGCAUUAAGCACUCCGCCUGGGGAGUACGACCGCAAGGUUGAAACUCAAAGGAAUUGACGGGGACCCGCACAAGCGGUGGAGCAUGUGGUUUAAUUCGAAGCAACGCGAAGAACCUUACCAAAUCUUGACAUCCUUUGACAACUCUAGAGAUAGAGCCUUCCCCUUCGGGGGACAAAGUGACAGGUGGUGCAUGGUUGUCGUCAGCUCGUGUCGUGAGAUGUUGGGUUAAGUCCCGCAACGAGCGCAACCCUUAAGCUUAGUUGCCAUCAUUAAGUUGGGCACUCUAAGUUGACUGCCGGUGACAAACCGGAGGAAGGUGGGGAUGACGUCAAAUCAUCAUGCCCCUUAUGAUUUGGGCUACACACGUGCUACAAUGGACAAUACAAAGGGCAGCGAAACCGCGAGGUCAAGCAAAUCCCAUAAAGUUGUUCUCAGUUCGGAUUGUAGUCUGCAACUCGACUACAUGAAGCUGGAAUCGCUAGUAAUCGUAGAUCAGCAUGCUACGGUGAAUACGUUCCCGGGUCU